rnacentral:rRNA from 1 species
AUUGAACGCUGGCGGCAUGCCUUACACAUGCAAGUCGAACGGCAGCACGGGAGCAAUCCUGGUGGCGAGUGGCGAACGGGUGAGUAAUAUAUCGGAACGUGCCCAGUCGUGGGGGAUAACGCAGCGAAAGCUGUGCUAAUACCGCAUACGAUCUACGGAUGAAAGCGGGGGAUCGCAAGACCUCGCGCGAUUGGAGCGGCCGAUAUCAGAUUAGCUAGUUGGUGAGGUAAAGGCUCACCAAGGCGACGAGAUGUAGCUGGUCUGAGAGGACGACCAGCCACACCGGAACUGGGACACGGUCCAGACUCCUACGGGAGGCAGCAGUGGGGAAUUUUGGACAAUGGGCGAAAGCCUGAUCCAGCAAUGCCGCGUGCAGGAUGAAGGCCUUCGGGUUGUAAACUGCUUUUGUACGGAACGAAACGGUGAGCUCUAAUACAGUUUGCUAAUGACGGUACCGUAAGAAUAAGCACCGGCUAACUACGUGCCAGCCGCCGCAGUAAAAC